AGCGUACACGGUGGAUGCCCUGGCAGUCAGAGGCGAUGAAGGACGUGCUAAUCUGCGAUAAGCGUCGGUAAGGUGAUAUGAACCGUUAUAACCGGCGAUUUCCGAAUGGGGAAACCCAGUGUGAUUCGUCACACUAUCAUUAACUGAAUCCAUAGGUUAAUGAGGCGAACCGGGGGAACUGAAACAUCUAAGUACCCCGAGGAAAAGAAAUCAACCGAGAUUCCCCCAGUAGCGGCGAGCGAACGGGGAGGAGCCCAGAGCCUGAAUCAGUGUGUGUGUUAGUGGAAGCGUCUGGAAAGGCGCGCGAUACAGGGUGACAGCCCCGUACACAAAAAUGCACAUGCUGUGAGCUCGAUGAGUAGGGCGGGACACGUGGUAUCCUGUCUGAAUAUGGGGGGACCAUCCUCCAAGGCUAAAUACUCCUGACUGACCGAUAGUGAACCAGUACCGUGAGGGAAAGGCGAAAAGAACCCCGGCGAGGGGAGUGAAAAAGAACCUGAAACCGUGUACGUACAAGCAGUGGGAGCACGCUUAGGCGUGUGACUGCGUACCUUUUGUAUAAUGGGUCAGCGACUUAUAUUCUGUAGCAAGGUUAACCGAAUAGGGGAGCCGAAGGGAAACCGAGUCUUAACUGGGCGUUAAGUUGCAGGGUAUAGACCCGAAACCCGGUGAUCUAGCCAUGGGCAGGUUGAAGGUUGGGUAACACUAACUGGAGGACCGAACCGACUAAUGUUGAAAAAUUAGCGGAUGACUUGUGGCUGGGGGUGAAAGGCCAAUCAAACCGGGAGAUAGCUGGUUCUCCCCGAAAGCUAUUUAGGUAGCGCCUCGUGAAUUCAUCUCCGGGGGUAGAGCACUGUUUCGGCAAGGGGGUCAUCCCGACUUACCAACCCGAUGCAAACUGCGAAUACCGGAGAAUGUUAUCACGGGAGACACACGGCGGGUGCUAACGUCCGUCGUGAAGAGGGAAACAACCCAGACCGCCAGCUAAGGUCCCAAAGUCAUGGUUAAGUGGGAAACGAUGUGGGAAGGCCCAGACAGCCAGGAUGUUGGCUUAGAAGCAGCCAUCAUUUAAAGAAAGCGUAAUAGCUCACUGGUCGAGUCGGCCUGCGCGGAAGAUGUAACGGGGCUAAACCAUGCACCGAAGCUGCGGCAGCGACACUAUGUGUUGUUGGGUAGGGGAGCGUUCUGUAAGCCUGUGAAGGUGUGCUGUGAGGCAUGCUGGAGGUAUCAGAAGUGCGAAUGCUGACAUAAGUAACGAUAAAGCGGGUGAAAAGCCCGCUCGCCGGAAGACCAAGGGUUCCUGUCCAACGUUAAUCGGGGCAGGGUGAGUCGACCCCUAAGGCGAGGCCGAAAGGCGUAGUCGAUGGGAAACAGGUUAAUAUUCCUGUACUUGGUGUUACUGCGAAGGGGGGACGGAGAAGGCUAUGUUGGCCGGGCGACGGUUGUCCCGGUUUAAGCGUGUAGGCUGGUUUUCCAGGCAAAUCCGGAAAAUCAAGGCUGAGGCGUGAUGACGAGGCACUACGGUGCUGAAGCAACAAAUGCCCUGCUUCCAGGAAAAGCCUCUAAGCAUCAGGUAACAUCAAAUCGUACCCCAAACCGACACAGGUGGUCAGGUAGAGAAUACCAAGGCGCUUGAGAGAACUCGGGUGAAGGAACUAGGCAAAAUGGUGCCGUAACUUCGGGAGAAGGCACGCUGAUAUGUAGGUGAAGUCCCUCGCGGAUGGAGCUGAAAUCAGUCGAAGAUACCAGCUGGCUGCAACUGUUUAUUAAAAACACAGCACUGUGCAAACACGAAAGUGGACGUAUACGGUGUGACGCCUGCCCGGUGCCGGAAGGUUAAUUGAUGGGGUCAGCGCAAGCGAAGCUCUUGAUCGAAGCCCCGGUAAACGGCGGCCGUAACUAUAACGGUCCUAAGGUAGCGAAAUUCCUUGUCGGGUAAGUUCCGACCUGCACGAAUGGCGUAAUGAUGGCCAGGCUGUCUCCACCCGAGACUCAGUGAAAUUGAACUCGCUGUGAAGAUGCAGUGUACCCGCGGCAAGACGGAAAGACCCCGUGAACCUUUACUAUAGCUUGACACUGAACAUUGAGCCUUGAUGUGUAGGAUAGGUGGGAGGCUUUGAAGUGUGGACGCCAGUCUGCAUGGAGCCGACCUUGAAAUACCACCCUUUAAUGUUUGAUGUUCUAACGUUGACCCGUGAUCCGGGUUGCGGACAGUGUCUGGUGGGUAGUUUGACUGGGGCGGUCUCCUCCUAAAGAGUAACGGAGGAGCACGAAGGUUGGCUAAUCCUGGUCGGACAUCAGGAGGUUAGUGCAAUGGCAUAAGCCAGCUUGACUGCGAGCGUGACGGCGCGAGCAGGUGCGAAAGCAGGUCAUAGUGAUCCGGUGGUUCUGAAUGGAAGGGCCAUCGCUCAACGGAUAAAAGGUACUCCGGGGAUAACAGGCUGAUACCGCCCAAGAGUUCAUAUCGACGGCGGUGUUUGGCACCUCGAUGUCGGCUCAUCACAUCCUGGGGCUGAAGUAGGUCCCAAGGGUAUGGCUGUUCGCCAUUUAAAGUGGUACGCGAGCUGGGUUUAGAACGUCGUGAGACAGUUCGGUCCCUAUCUGCCGUGGGCGCUGGAGAACUGAGGGGGGCUGCUCCUAGUACGAGAGGACCGGAGUGGACGCAUCACUGGUGUUCGGGUUGUCAUGCCAAUGGCACUGCCCGGUAGCUAAAUGCGGAAGAGAUAAGUGCUGAAAGCAUCUAAGCACGAAACUUGCCCCGAGAUGAGUUCUCCCUGACUCCUUGA
rnacentral:rRNA from 1 species